rnacentral:rRNA from 1 species
UACGUAGGGAGCAAGCGUUAUCCGGAUUUAUUGGGUGUAAAGGGUGCGUAGACGGGAAAAUAAGUUAGCUGUGAAAUCCCUCGGCUUGACUGAGGAACUGCAACUAAAACUGUUUUUCUUGAGUACUGGAGAGGAAAGUGGAAUUCCUAGUGUAGCGGUGAAAUACGUAGAUAUUAGGAGGAACACCAGUGGCGAAGGCGACUUUCUGGACAGAAACCGACGUUGAGGCACGAAAGUGUGGGGAGCAAAC